rnacentral:rRNA from 1 species
UACGUAGGGCGCGAGCGUUGUCCGGAAUUAUUGGGCGUAAAGAGCUCGUAGGCGGCCUGUCGCGUCAAUUGUGAAAGCCCGGGGCUCAACCCCGGGUCUGCAGUCGAUACGGGCAGGCUAGAGUUCGGUAGGGGAGAUCGGAAUUCCUGGUGUAGCGGUGAAAUGCGCAGAUAUCAGGAGGAACACCGGUGGCGAAGGCGGAUCUCUGGGCCGACACUGACGCUGAGGCGCGAAAGCGUGGGGAGCAAACAGG